CACACCCAGGAAGGGAUAAGCCAUGUAUGUCUCCUGAUAAAGGAGGCGGUUACAGGAUUUUUUUUUUUCUUUUUAAAUAUUAGGCCCAAGGUUACUGGGGAAAAUGACCAAGCCAGCCGGAGACAUGGAGAAGACCCCACCUCCAAGGCAGCGGGGACGCCUCUGCCAGCCCCAGCCCCUUGUCUCCUGUGUCUCCUCGUGUCCGUCCCGGGGAGGGGCUGCUCCCCCUGGACACGGGGCCGGGACCCCUCGGUCCCUCUCGUCCCCUCUGUGAGCCAUCGUGCCCGUCCCUUCCUCCGCCCCUCCUUCCCAGCCUGCUCCCCACGGUCCCCACUGCAUCCGCUCUGUCGCCCUGGUGCCCAGUGGUGCGCCCAUCUGCGAACUGUCUCCAGGCCCACUGCACCCGCCAAACCCAGCGGACGUCCGCCUCGACCGCGGCCACGGUCGGUGCGGGAUCUGCACGGAUCCCGGCCCUCACCGUUCACACAGAAAACAGAUACUCACAGAUGGGAACCUCCACAGACGUCCCUCGUGGGGAUCGCUGCCUCCGACUCUCGCGGAGAAACUGGUCCCAGACCAUCCCUCCCGGCACAGACAUGUAACAGAAGCCAAGAGAACCGGCCACCUGCAAACCUGUUGUCCGGGGGCUUUUCAAGGUCGUGUUUCUGGCUGAGGUUGCGGUGACCUCUAACGCAGGGUGUGAGUGCCCCCUUCUCAGCUGGCAGGAUCCACUCAGCGUGGCACCUGCUUGGCACCUGUGUGUCAUUAAAAACUUUUUUUAAUGUUUUAUUUAUUUUUGAGACAGAGAGAGACAGAGAGUGAGCAGGUGUCCCAAGGAGAGGUAAGAGGAGAGGUGGAAUGAAGAAGUUUAAAUGCUUUUCAAAGUGUCACAAGCCCCCUAAAACCUGAGUAAGAUAAAAUCUCACAUUUUUAAGUUUACUUAUUUAUUUUGAGAGAGAGAGAGACUGAGCGAGGGAGAGAGAGACAGAAUCCCAAGCGGGCUCCGUGCUGUCAGCAC